AUGAGGAUCACGCUGGGCAUGAGCCUGGAGGCGUGGGUCACCACGGACGACGCGGCGGCGCCUCCCAUGGCCAUGGGCGCCUGGCGCGCCGGCGAGGUGGUCUGGGGCAACGGCCACUCCUACGUCAUGCGCUGGUUCGACGGCGGCCCGGACUCGGGCCGCAUCCUGAGGAAGUUCGUCCGCCCGCUCCCGGACCCCGCCGUCAAGCUCCCCGCGGACCUCGUCCCCGGCGACAACGUCGAGGUGCUGGACGGCAGCCUGUGGAAGUGGGCCGAGGUCGUGGCCGCCGCCGGCGACCGGUUCGAGGUCAAGAUCGUCGGCUCGUCCCAGGUCCUCACGGCGGACCGCGGCGCGCUCCGGCCCCGGCAGGUGUACGGGGAGAAGGGCUGGGUCGUGCUCCACAAGGGCAACAAGAUCCCCGUCGAGAGUGUCGUGCCGUCGCGCCCCAUCCCCGGCAAGAACAUCAACGGCAAGGCCAAAAAUGGCAACCUCGGAGGCGGCAAGUACGCCGAUCCCCAUGCCGUCAAGCUCGGGGGCAAGACGACGAUGAAGAGGAGCAGCCCCACGGUGACGGCGGACGGCGACGACGUAGUCCCGGAUGCCAAGAGGUUUCAUUUUCAUAGUAGCAGCAAGUUGUUCCCCAAGGAAGCACCGGAUGGCAAGAGGUUGCAUAGUAGCAGCAAGUUGUUCCCCAAGGAUGCAAGAUACCCAAGCCAUUGUUAUCUGAUGAAGAAACGGCGGCAGGAGACGAGCAAUGAUAAAUCCUACUAUCAUGAAGAGUCAUGUGAUGCGGUUGGAGGAACAGUAAGAGAUAGCAGCAGCGACACCGACGGCGGUUCUAGUAGUAGUAGCACGUCUGAUCGAUCGUCGUCAUCGGCGGAUGGCAGCGAGGGAGACAAUAGCAGCAGCAGCAGCAGCGGAAGCAACAGCAACGGCGGAGUUCCUGAAGUUCCCGCCGCCGGCGAGCGUUGCCAAGAAAAUCGAGAAGCGUCGAUCCCGCCGCCGCCGCUGAGCCGCGAGGAAGAGGAGCAAGAUUCUUCCGACGACGGUCGCGCCAGCGUGACAAUGCACCGCCGCCCGGCGGACGUGGACGAGGAAGAGGCGGUGGCGAUGAAACGAAAUCGGCAAGCGGCAGAGGGACAUCAGGAGGACCACGGCCGCGUCCAUGGCCUGGAGCUGGAGGCGUACGUGAGCGUGAUGAAGGCGUUCCGCGCCACGGGGCCGCUGAGCUGGGCCAAGGAGGAGCUGCUGUCCGACCUCCGCCUGCACCUCCACGUCUCCGGCGACGAGCACCUGCAGCUCAUAAGGAGCUUGAACGGCAAUAACUAG
rnacentral:rRNA from 1 species